AGCCCUGUGGCACAGUGGUUAAAUGCCUGUACUGUACUGUACUGUACAAGGUUGUGAGUUCAAUACUAGCCAGGGCUC